ensembl:snRNA U2 U2 spliceosomal RNA
AUAUAUACGGCCUUUUGGCUAAGAUCAAGUGUAGUAUCUGUUCUUAUCAGUUUAAUAUCUGAUACGUCCCCUACCCGGGGACCAUAUAUUAAAUUGAUUGUUGGAACUGGGAGAUGGAAUAGGGGCUUGCUCCGUCCACUCCACGCAUCGACCUGGUAUUGCAGUACCUCCAGGAACGGUGCACUUCCC